GUGAGGAAUAUUGCGCAAUGGAGGCAACUCUGACGCAGCCAUGCCGCGUGCAGGAAGAAGGCGCUACGCGUUGUAAACUGCUUUUAACCGGGAAGAAACCCCAGGACGUGUCCUGGGUUGACGGUACCGGAGGAAUAAGCACCGGCUAACUUCGUGCCAGCAGCCGCGGUAAUACGAAGGGUGCAAGCGUUAUCCGGAUUCAUUGGGUUUAAAGGGUGCGUAGGCGGAGCGUUAAGUCAGUGGUGAAAUCCUGCAGCUUAAGUGUAGACUUGCCAUUGAUACUGGCGCUCUUGAGUGCGCUUGAAGUGGGCGGAAUGUGCCGUGUAGCGGUGAAAUGCUUAGAUAUGGCACAGAACACCAAUUGCGAAGGCAGCUCACUAAGGCGAUACUGACGCUGAGGCACGAAAGCGUGGGGAUCGAACAGGAUUAGAUACCCUAGUAGUCC
rnacentral:rRNA from 1 species